GGAAACAAAAAGGCAUCUUUUUGUUUUUAAAAGACCUUCUUACGAAGGUAUGCUUAAAGAGGGGCUUGCGCCACAUUAGUUAGUUGGUAGAGUAAAAGCCUACCAAGACGAUGAUGUGUAGCUGGACUGAGAGGUUGAACAGCCACAUUGGGACUGAGACACGGCCCAAACUCCUACGGGAGGCAGCAGUAGGGAAUUUUCGGCAAUGGAGGAAACUCUGACCGAGCAACGCCGCGUGAACGAUGAAGUAUUUCGGUAUGUAAAGUUCUUUUAUUGAAAAAGAAAAAGUAGUGGAAAAACUAUAUUGACGUUAUUCAAUGAAUAAGCCCCGGCUAACUAUGUGCCAGCAGCCGCGGUAAGACAUAGGGGGCGAGCGUUAUCCGGAAUUAUUGGGCGUAAAGGGUGCGUAGGCUGUUAGAUAAGUCUAUAAUUUAAUUUCAGUGCUUAACGCUGUCUUGUUAUAGAAACUGUCUUGACUAGAGUGAGAUAGAGGCAAGCGGAAUUCCAUGUGUAGCGGUAAAAUGUGUAAAUAUAUGGAGGAACACCAGAAGCGUAGGCGGCUUGCUGGGUCUUUACUGACGCUGAGGCACGAAAGCGUGGGUAGCAAACAGGAUUAGAUACCCUGGUAGUCCACGCCGUAAACGAUGAGUACUAAGUGUCGGGGUAAAACUCGGUACUGAAGUUAACACAUUAAGUACUCCGCCUGAGUAGUACGUACGCAAGUAUGAAACUUAAAGGAAUUGACGGGACUCCGCACAAGCGGUGGAUCAUGUUGUUUAAUUCGAAGAUACACGAAAAAUCUUACCAGGUCUUGACAUACUCUGCAAAGCUAUAGAAAUAUAGUGGAGGUUAUCAGGGAUACAGGUGGUGCAUGGUUGUCGUCAGUUCGUGUCGUGAGAUGUUAGGUUAAGUCCUAAAACGAACGCAACCCUUGUCGUUAAUUGCCAGCACAUAAUGGUGGGGACUUUAACGAGACUGCCAAUUAAACAUUGGAGGAAGGUGAGGAUUACGUCAAAUCAUCAUGCCCCUUAUGAUCUGGGCUACAAACGUGAUACAAUGGCUGUGACAAAGAGUAGCUGAAACGCGAGUUUUUAGCCAAUCUCAAAAAAGCAGUCUCAGUUCGGAUUGAAGUCUGUAACUCGACUUCAUGAAGUUGGAAUCGCUAGUAAUCGCGAAUCAGCAUGUCGCGGUGAAUACGUUCUC
rnacentral:rRNA from 1 species